UUGGAAUAUGAUGAGUAACAGAGCCAGGUGCUUGGAAAGCCAUGGGUGAGUGAGUAGAGUGUGACUACAAGAUCUUGAUUUUUGUAGUCAUUUUCCAACUUGUGAUUUGUAGCCAUGGCAAAAAAUAUAUUGAUUUCUGUGCCUUUUGUCAAUUUUUAGUUUCUUGUUAUGGUCUGCCUAAAAUAUUUUUUGCCAUUCUUUCUUUAUCUUCCUGCUGAUUGUGAUUGUUGUAAGUUGCAACUCAAAACUGGAGGUGGGAGACUAGAAUAUAGUUUAUAAUUGUUGCCUUGGACCAAUGCUACAAUUUAGUAUUAGUAUAGAGAUUUUGAAUCUUUAUGUGCUUCCUGGGAACAAAUUUACAACGUCUCUUAGUUUUCUUGGAACAUGCCUAUGCUCCCUUGGUCAUUCUCAAUUUGAUUCUUCUGUUACCAAUAUUUGACUACCUCUCAACUCUUUAAUUUUCCUUUUUAGGAUUUCAGAUACUAGGCCCUCCGGUAACUAGAAAAAUUUCUAGUAUGACAGAGCAUUGUCCAUCCCUGUCACAGCUUCCAGGAAAGUUAGUUUUGAAGUGGCCGCCCAUGUCUGAAGCUUUCUGAAAAUCU
rnacentral:lncRNA from 1 species